rnacentral:piRNA from 1 species
UAGUGGCUCUGACUUUGUGGGCUUGUCC